rnacentral:rRNA from 1 species
CGGGUAGCCGACCUGAGAGGGUGAUCGGCCACACUGGGACUGAGACACGUGCCCAGACUCCUACGGGAGGCAGCAGUGGGGAAUAUUGCACAAUGGGCGCAAGCCUGAUGCAGCGACGCCGCGUGAGGGAUGACGGCCUUCGGGUUGUAAACCUCUUUCACCAGGGACGAAGCGUGAGUGACGGUACCUGGAGAAGAAGCACCGGCCAACUACGUGCCAGCAGCCGCGGUAAUACGUAGGGUGCGAGCGUUGUCCGGAAUUACUGGGCGUAAAGAGCUCGUAGGCGGUUUGUCGCGUCGUCUGUGAAAUUCUGCAACUCAAUUGCAGGCGUGCAGGCGAUACGGGCAGACUUGAGUACUACAGGGGAGACUGGAAUUCCUGGUGUAGCGGUGAAAUGCGCAGAUAUCAGGAGGAACACCGGUGGCGAAGGCGGGUCUCUGGGUAGUAACUGACGCUGAGGAGCGAAAGCGUGGGUAGCGAACAGGAUUAGAUACCCUGGUAGUCCACGCCGUAAACGGUGGGUACUAGGUGUGGGUUCCUUUUCACGGGAUCCGUGCCGUAGCUAACGCAUUAAGUACCCCGCCUGGGGAGUACGGA